rnacentral:misc_RNA from 1 species
GAAAUGCGAUAAGUAGUGUGAAUUGCAGAAUUCAGUGAAUCAUCGAAUCUUUGAACGCACAUUGCGCCCCUUGGUAUUCCAUGGGGCAUGCCUGUUCGAGCGUCAUUUGUACCUUCAAGCUUUGCUUGGUGUUGGGUGUUUGUCUCGCCUCUGCGCGCAGACUCGCCUCAAAACAAUUGGUAGCCGGCGUAUUGAUUUCGGAGCGCAGUACAUCUCGCGCUUUGCACUCAUAACGACGACGUCCAAAAAGUACAUUUUUUACACUCUUGACCUCGGAUCAGGUAGGGAUACCCGCUGAACUUAAGC